rnacentral:lncRNA from 1 species
CUUAGUGUCAGCUCAGUCACUAUGACAAGUUACCAGUGACCCGGGCUGCAGAUGCCUCCUCGCUCCAACUCUUACCCUGCCAUGAAGUAAACAAUCACGUUAUUCUUUCGGUGGCAUUCUCUGAUGCCCACGUCAGACAGUUUGUUUAUCUACAACAAUAUGGGAGGAAUGCUGCUUCACGUGCUCACAGGGAAGAACACGUAACUCAACAUCCACAUUGCCGCAGGUCCUGUGCCCUUUGGGUCAUUCAACCUUCAAAGCAAGCUGCUGAGGAAAGGCUCUGAUAUGGCGUGUCUUUCCACCUCUCUCGCUCCCAUAAAAAGCGCUCCUUCCAAGAUAUAUACGGCAGGAAUGAAGAUUGGAUCAGGUCUUCUCAACUUUCUUCAUUCGCAGGCCUAGAGUCAUAAUUGUCUUCUGACUAAUGAGCCCCGAAGCCCUACAGAAUCCUGAAUUAUUCAAAGAAAAUUAAAAUAUUUUCCCUCUCCUGUAUCUCCAAGCCUUCUCCCCACCCCCCAAAACAGUCUGUGAACAGAAAGCUUGAAAUAAAUUUUCUUCUUAGUUGGCGCUAAGCAGAACAGCCAAAACGGCAACAAUAAAACCAACCCAUUUCCCAAGAAUUCUAGUUAUGUGGCUUUUUGCUAUAGUCGCAGCAGCGUCUUUUAGGCCGACUUUGGCCGCAGUAUGAGGAAUUCAGGUUACACAAAAGUCAUUCUCUUAGGAGCAUUGC